UUGGAGGGCAAGUCUGGUGCCAGCAGCCGCGGUAAUUCCAGCUCCAAUAGCGUAUAUUAAAGUUGUUGCAGUUAAAAAGCUCGUAGUUGAAUUUCGGGAUCAAUAUGCUGGUCGUGCCUUUGGUACGUACUGGUAUUAUUGGUUUCUCCUUUCUGAUGAAUCAUGAUGUCAUUAAUUUGGUGUCAUGGGGAAUCAGGACUGUUACUUUGAAAAAAUUAGAGUGUUUAAAGCAGGCUUACGCUUGAAUACAUUAGCAUGGAAUAAUGAAAUAGGACGUUUAAUUCUAUUUUGUUGGUUUCUAGGAUUGACGUAAUGAUUAAUAGGGAUAGUUGGGGGCAUUAGUAUUCAAUUGUCAGAGGUGAAAUUCUUGGAUUUAUUGAAGACUAACUACUGCAAAAGCAUUUGCCAAGGAUGUUUUCAUUAAUCAAGAACGAAAGUAGGGAGGUGUAAGACGAGUACUAGAGUACGUACCGUAAGUACUUAACCUAACUAAACUAAAUAGUCCGACCGUAACGGUAAGGUACGUAACGUAGUAGUAGUUAAGUUUU
rnacentral:rRNA from 1 species